rnacentral:lncRNA from 1 species
GAGGAGGGGGUUCACCGGCCCUUCCAUCAUGGGGAGAAUGUGCAGGCUCUGAAUCUGGCCAACAGCUUGGAGGCUUUCUUCCUCUCUGCUAGGGUGACUUGGAUUCUGGGGCCAGUCUCCUAAAGGGAAUAAACUCAUACUGAGAAUCAGCUCAGUGCUUCCCAUGCAUGAAGUCAGGUUUUACAAUUUGCUCAAUAUCAUGUGGGUUGUGAGGAGUGGGGCUGGGAUUUGAACCCAAGUCUCUCUAAAUAUGGGUUCCCCAGGUGGCCCAGUGGGAAAGAAUCAGUCUACAAUGCAGGUGCUGCGGGUUGGAUCCCUGGGUUGAGCGGAUCCCCUGGAGAAGGAAAUGGCAACCCACUCUAGUAUUCUUGCCUGGAAAAUUGUAUGGACAGCAGAGCCUGGCGGGCUACAGUUCAUGGGUUCACAAAGGGUCGGACAUGACAUAGCGACUAAAAAACAACAGGCAACAACUCUCUAAAUGUGCAAAGCUCCCCGUUCAUCAGAGCUUCCUGCCGUUGCUGACCGUUGCUUUUGCUGCAUCCCAGCCUUCUGAAAGAUUGCUGGUGGCUUCCCCUGGUACCCGCGCCAGACAAGGGUCAGAUCAGUGGCGUGAGAGCCACCCAUCACAAGUGGACAGCUUCCUGCUUCCUGCUCUACACCCCGUUCUCCUUGCGCCAAGAAUCCCCCUCCCUCCCUCAGGACUCCCUGGCAGCAUGUGGCCCCGUGGAGUACUCCGUACAGACAGGGGUCCUCAGCCCAACAGGCACUGACAUUUGGAGCACUGCCCUCUACCCUCCUGCCUUAUUUCCGCUUCGGGUCUCACUGAGGCCAUUCUUACAAGCCAGAGAAUGCAGCGGCCUUCUUCCCAUAGGAAAGCACAAGAUCUAUGGGAUUUAAUAAGAUCAUCCAAGCCUUGGCGCGGUGGCAGAUUUCUGGUGACACCACGUUCUUUGGGGAGCCAGCAGAUGACGGAUGGAGGAGCCACGUCCACCCAGGGAGGUCCUGCCUUGAACAGAUGCUGCCGAUGGAGGCUGCCUUCCCCGCCUCUCCAUCUCCUUCAGCGCCAGCCCCUGGGGCACCCAUCACCUUCUCCACCCUCCUUGCUCUGGUCAGUGUCCUCGCUGCAGACAGCCUGGCUGGAACAGGUGAGCAGGCGCCACCUCCAACCUCCUGGGUCCCGGAGUGAUGGAUGCUGGACUGCGUACCUCCUGUCCUCCCCCCACGUCACCCCACCCUCACUUUCAGAGUGCAGUGAAAAGUUGCGGGUUCCACGGGUCUCACGGAGCCUGGAGUUCUGAGGUCAAGUGUGCAUGGAGAAGGAAAGAGGUCGAGGCCAUGGGGGUGGCUGGGUUCUCAGGAUACCCACAUUCGUUCCAGGGAGCUCAUUCUGCCCUGCUCUGGUCCCAGAGAAGCCGAUCCCUUAUCCGUUUUGCUGGUGGACAGAGCUUUCCUUUAGAGAAACUCACACCCCUUAGGCUGGUUUCUUCCAAGCCAAGAAGCCUUUAAGGUCAUCUUGCCCAGGGCUUCCCUGAUGGCUCAGUGGUGAAGAAUCUGCCUGCUGAUGCAGGAGACACAGGUUCGAUCCUUCGUCCAGGAAGAUCCCACAUGCUGUGGAGCAAUUAAGCCCCCGGGCCAUGGCUAUUGAGCCUGUGCCCUAGAGCCCGGGAACCGCCACGACUGAGCCCGUUUGCCACAACUACCGAAGCCCGUGCACCCUGGAGACUGUGCUCCAGCAAGAGGAGCCAUGGCAGUGAGAAGCCCGAGCUCCGCAACAGACAGCAGUCUGCGCUCUCUGAAACUAGAGAAAGCCCGCACAGCAACGAAGGCUGAGCACAGCCCGAGAUACAUACAUGUGUAAAUAAAAAUUUGAGAAAAGUUCA